CUAAUGAGAUUAUGUGAACUCUCACAUUUGCGGAAUCGGAUUGUUGAGGACAUUCUGCAGCACCAAGCAGAUGGCAGAAAAGAUGAAAUUUACCCCUGCCCUUAAAAUUGACUGUGGCACUCCUCUGUGUUCUCGCGAAAAGCUGUAAAUGAAGAGCCAACCAAAAUUCAUCGGAAAUGAACACCUGCUGUGCCCCUACUCCACAGUUCAAAGUCACAAGAUUCCAUCAUCAAAUCCAAUCCAACCCAACAGCGACCCCUAUUGGCUUCAGCUUCAAAACGGACCACUUCUCACCGUCUCCACUGUCACACCUCCAGGAGACAUGUCCCCGCUGUCCUACAACUAGGACUGGCCCAGCUGCUCUGACCUUACCUGCAUGGCAAACAGAGGGAACUUUUUCCAGAAAACUGAUUUAACAAAGUAACUGCAAUCAGGUGGUUCCCCUGAUCAAAAUGUUCCAGUGGCUUCCAUUCCACUGAAGAUGACAUUUGUCUUACCAUGGCCUGCCUAGGUCUCCCUGACCUCACUCCUGGUUCUCCCUUCCACUGUAGCUCCUAGGGCUUGAGGAGCCACCCCUGAUCGUACUAUCUAAGAUGACAUGCCCCUCCUCACUGCCCUGCUUUAUUUCUCUUCAGAGUACCCAUCACCUCCUGAUAUUACUUUAUAUAUUAACA